GACGAACGCUGGCGGCGUGCUUAACACAUGCAAGUCGAACGGAAAGGCUCUGCUUGCAGGGUACUCGAGUGGCGAACGGGUGAGUAACACGUGGGUGAUCUGCCCUGCACUUCGGGAUAAGCCUGGGAAACUGGGUCUAAUACCGGAUAGGAGCCAUUUUUAGUGUGAUGGUUGGAAAGUUUUUUCGGUGUAGGAUGAGCUCGCGGCCUAUCAGCUUGUUGGUGGGGUAAUGGCCUACCAAGGCGGCGACGGGUAGCCGGCCUGAGAGGGUGGACGGCCACAUUGGGACUGAGAGACGGCCCAGACUCCUACGGGAGGCAGCAGUGGGGAAGAUUGCACAAUGGGCGCAAGCCUGAUGCAGCGACGCCGCGUGGGGGAUGACGGCCUUCGGGUUGUAAACUCCUUUCGCUAGGGACGAAGCUUUUUGUGACGGUACCUAGAGAAGAAGCACCGGCUAACUACGUG
rnacentral:rRNA from 1 species